CGUCGAUUCGCACCUGGUGGUUUGAAAUUCCUGUCGGUUACCUGUGGUUCGCUAAUUGGCUGGGCAAUAUGGCGAACAGUAAUCUGAGAUUCACAGGGAUAUUUCACUUGCAUUUGUUUUGGAUUCCCUUGAUGCUGGGGUAUGGGAUAACACUGGUGGCAGAAGGAACUGAAACCUGGAUAGCUCCUGAAUAUUGCAUGAAGGACCUUCCUGCAAAUGUGGCCAACGUCUCAGUCCCCAGCAAAUUGAUGUGUUCUCUCCACGCAAGCAAAUCAAGGUCGACGAUGUUUGUUUACCAAAGUAAGACAUGUUCCACAUACGACGGCCUCAAUGAAGCUUCCUAUUCGACUCUGGUAUUCGCCAUGAAAACUUCUCCCGCUCUGUUGGAGGAAGUCGCCAGGGGAGGAACACCUUCACUAGUCAGCAGUGUCUGAACCAUGUAAAAGAAAAUGCAGUCGACGGAAACAUAACAACCUUAUACCACUCUGAGGGUCAAGUAAACCCUUUCUGGACAGUCGAUUUGGGAGAAGUCCGGAACGUAUCUCUGGUCAGGAUCCUUCCUAAUGGCAACCAGUUCAACAACAUUGAGAUCCGCCUUGGCAGGGACAAUCUGACAACGGGGGACUUCUCGUCCUACGCCUUGCUGGCCAGAUACACCGGUCCUUACUCAUUGUCUCAGCAGUACCUGGCCUGCCACUCACGAGGGGUCCUUGGAAGAUAUCUCAGCAUCCAGAAGGUUCCACCAGGCACUACUUAC